rnacentral:rRNA from 1 species
UACGUAGGGGGCUAGCGUUGUCCGGAAUCAUUGGGCGUAAAGAGCGUGUAGGCGGCCCGGUAAGUCCGCUGUAAAAGUCAAAGGCUCAACCUUUGAAUGUCAGUGGAUACUGCCGGGCCAGAGUCCGGAAGAGGCGAGUGGAACUCCUGGUGUAGCGGUGGAAUGCGCAGAUAUCAGGAAGAACACCAACGGCGAAGGCAGCUCGCUAGGACGGUACUGACGCUGAGACGCGAAAGCGUGGGGAGCGAACAGG